rnacentral:rRNA from 1 species
GAGGUGAUAAACCUACCGAGUUCAGUUAUAGCUGGUUGCCCGAGAACUGAGUAUAAGCUCAGCCUUUUGGCUUCUUAACUCCACAACUAUUUAUAUCAACCCGACUUUAAGAAACCAAAAGAGUUAGUCAAAGGGGGUACAGCCCCUUUGACACAAGAAACAACUUUUAACAGGAGGAUAAGGAUCAUAAAAAAUUAAGGCACCGCGCUUAAGUAGGCUUAGAAGCAGCCACCACAAGAAAGCGUUAAAGCUCCAGCACAUCCCUGCCACAAAUACCAAUAAAACACUCCUAACCCCUUCCCCUACCGGGCUUUUCUAUGCUUCCAUAGAAGAAAUUAUGCUAAAAUGAGUAAUAAGGGGCUGACCCCCUCCAAGCACAAGUGUACAUCAGAACGAACCCCCACCGAAAUUCAACGGACCCAACCAAAGAGGGAAAUAAAUAUUAAACUCACAACAAGAAGAACAUUUAACACUUUUCCGUUACCCCUACACUGGUGUGCCAAAUAGGAAAGACUAAAAGAAAAAGAAGGAACUCGGCAAACUCAAAGCCUCGCCUGUUUACCAAAAACAUCGCCUCUUGCUUCAAUGAAUAAGAGGUCACGCCUGCCCUGUGACUAUAUGUUUAACGGCCGCGGUAUUUUGACCGUGCAAAGGUAGCGCAAUCACUUGUCCUUUAAAUGUGGACCUGUAUGAAUGGCAUAACGAGGGCUUAGCUGUCUCCUUUCUCCAGUCAAUGAACUUGAUCUCCCCGUGCAGAAGCGGGGAUAAAACCAUAAGACGAGAAGACCCUAUGGAGCUUUAGACAAAAAACAGCCCCUGUCAAUAAACCCUAAACAAAGGAAAUAAACCUAGUGAACCUGUUUUAAUGUCUUUGGUUGGGGCGACCGCGGGGUAACAAAAAACCCCCAUGUGGAAUGAAAACACCCUUUUUAAAACCAAGAGUCACCACUCUAAGUUACAGAACAUCUGACCAAUAAUGAUCCGGCUUAAAGCCGAUUAACGAACCGAGUUACCCUAGGGAUAACAGCGCAAUCCUCUUUUAGAGUCCAUAUCGACAAGAGGGUUUACGACCUCGAUGUUG